rnacentral:rRNA from 1 species
UAACAAGGUCUCCGUUGGUGAACCAGCGGAGGGAUCAUUACUGAGUUUACGCUCUACAACCCUUUGUGAACAUACCUACAACUGUUGCUUCGGCGGGUAGGGUCUCCGCGACCCUCCCGGCCUCCCGCCUCCGGGCGGGUCGGCGCCCGCCGGAGGAUAACCAAACUCUGAUUUAACGACGUUUCUUCUGAGUGGUACAAGCAAAUAAUCAAAACUUUUAACAACGGAUCUCUUGGUUCUGGCAUCGAUGAAGAACGCAGCGAAAUGCGAUAAGUAAUGUGAAUUGCAGAAUUCAGUGAAUCAUCGAAUCUUUGAACGCACAUUGCGCCCGCCAGCAUUCUGGCGGGCAUGCCUGUUCGAGCGUCAUUUCAACCCUCAAGCUCUGCUUGGUGUUGGGGCCCUACAGCCGAUGUAGGCCCUCAAAGGUAGUGGCGGACCCUCCCGGAGCCUCCUUUGCGUAGUAACUUUACGUCUCGCACUGGGAUCCGGAGGGACUCUUGCCGUAAAACCCCCCAAUUUUCCAAAGGUUGACCUCGGAUCAGGUAGGAAUACCCGC